AGGGAAAGCCAAAAAGAAGCACAGACAAGCAGCUCUUCUCUCCACGGGAUUUUUUCAGUGUAUUUUCCUUCCAAAAAGUGUCUUCUGUGGCUGGCACAGCGAUUAGUCAGAACCUGUUUUUCUGAAUGACAGAGGGGAAAGGUUAAAGAUAAGCUCUUCAACUUUUUCCUCAUUGUGCGCAUAUACACACACACAAGGUGCCAGAUCAAGACCAAAAAUCUCACCAAACUGGAUCCGCAGUGCUGUGUGAGCAAGCACUUUUCCUCUCCGGCCUGAGCAGGUGGCUGCCGCUGUUCACCGAUUUUAAAUGAGGAGAAGGCUCAAGAGUCACAGACUCUAACUUAGGACAGCUACACAGCUAGAACUAGCUCCAGCAUACCCCUGGACGUUGGGCUUACAGUAAGAAGACCAGCCUGAUUUAUGUAAGAGAAUCUCGUAAGGAUGCCCGGAAUUACAUGAGAAAGAGCUGCUCUAGGUUUUCCGAUAAACUUUAUAUAAUAAAGACAGUGAUAUGUUUUA